rnacentral:lncRNA from 1 species
AAUGUGCUGGGCUUGGAAUCAGAAAGUACUGAAUUUAUAUCUGUUCUCAUACAUUUACUGGCUGUGUGGCCCUAAGCAAAGUCACUCCACCUGUUUGCCUCAGUUUCCUCAUCUGUAAGGUGAGCUGGAGAAGGAAAUGGUGAACCACUCCAGUAUCUUUGCCAAGAAAACUCUAAACAGAGAAUUGAAAAGUGGUAUGUGCCUAAAAAUAACUCAACAACUACAUAUAUACAUGCAUACAUAUAUGUGUAUAAAUGUGUGUUUAAAAUUAAAAGACUGCAAGGCUCAAUUUAUAAUGGCCAUUUUUCAAGGCAUAGAGAGGACCAUAGGAAUCGGUUUCUUAUAGGAAUAUUUCCCUACAAAGUGGGGAUUAUCCUGUAAUAGUAGUAUUAUAAAAGGCAUUUAUUUCUCUCAUUGUUUGGUCCCACAGCCUCAAUAGAUUUAGGAAGAGAAGAGAUUCAAACAUCUUCUCUCCUGCCCCAACUGGUGUUACUGAAGCAUUGCAGCAAGAUGGCAUCAUUUUUUAAUCAUCUUCUAAGACUCCUAAUGUGUUUGGGCUCCUUUUAAAUUGUAACAAGACUUUCAUUUCUUCAUAGAAGGGUCAAAUAUUGUGUGAGUCUAUGACAACCUAAGGUCCAUUGAGCAAGUCCCCUUUUUCCUCUUCAGCCCCAAUCGAAAUAUGCUCUGUUGUUGAUGAAUCUCGAAGGGGGAGAGGAGAGGGAAGAAGAGGAAAUGAGCGUGUUGUGUCAAAAUAAACAAGUUGAAGAAAAUCCCAAUAAACCAUCAAAAGAUAUCAGUCAUCUUCCAGAGUUCAGCCCAAGUUUGGUCAGAGGGUAGGCAGGAACCAUGGGCCCAGAACUCAGAAAUGACUGACUUUCAUCAUGAAAACUGGGAUUCUCCUUCUAAGCAGUGCUUGCCAUCAGCUCCUCCAGCAUCAGGUAGCAAGCAUACUUUCAAGUCCUUGGCCAUCUUUUUAUUUCUUGUCACAGUUACCCUGUCCUUGCCAUCGAGGGCUAAUGAGGCUCUUAAGUGAAGAUAACGGGACGAGCAUGCAUGCAGCGUCCACUGGGUGCUGGCCCAGAUGGGAAUGCUGCUAACAAGUCAGACGCAGCUAUUGCUCCAAAGGAGCUCGCCAUCCAAAGAGGCCAAUUGCUGAGUGUUUGGGGUAGAGGCUGACCCAGGAGUCAGUGUAGGAACCCUGAGCGGAGCCUGGAGCCUCUUUUCUUUCCCUCUAGCUGCUGUCCCAACAGCCCGAGCCUCGGAAACAGCUCUGGGCUCUGACACGGUGGAGGGGGCUUUGGCUGGGGACCAGGGGGUGAAAGACGUUUAGUUCAGGGCUCAGGAAGAUCUUCAAGCUCAGGGCUCAAGUCACCCAUCAUUACUGUAAGUCAACAAUGCUGUCCCUGAGGGAGGAUUUUAUGAGCAACCCUGGAGCAAUCUCAACAGGAAGAUUUACGGAAGUUCUAAGCAACCAACUGGCAAAAAGAACUCUGGGAAUGAAAGAGAGGCCUGUCUACACUUACGUAGUGGGGGGGGGGGGGGCGGGGUAGGUGAAUGGUGAAAAGUCUUCUAGCCCCAAAGAACUGAGCUGACGGGGCAAAUAAUGCUAGUCAAGAGCUUCACACUUAGACAAGUCCUGAUGUUGGCUGCAGAAGUUUGGGGCUUGAUACUCCCUGUCCCUCUUCUCCCUCCCCCACCCGACUAGAUCCUCUCUCUCCUCCCCAUUUCCAAUUCAUUAUGCAACUGAAAGGCAAAACGUGAAAAGGGAGGGGAAGAUUCUCUCCCAGAUCUGGACCUCGUUCUUCUUCUGUCAAAUGAGUCAGCUGGAUUGACAGUGAAAUCUCUUGGACAAUUUUGCCUCUCUAGAAGAAGAGUCGUGUCUUCACCAAAUGUUCCAUCUCUACCUUACUCAGCACAUGGCUCUGCACGAAGUAGGUGCUAAUCAAUGUUGAAUUCAAUUCAGUUCAGAAAGCAUUAUUAGGCACCCACUG